UUAAACAUACAAUUAGAUAAAUAUCCAAAUCCUACAAAGGUUCCAUGUCUGGACAAGGUAACUUGUCAAACUCAAUAACCUGUUUAUAUCCAUAAUUAUUUAAUACAAUACCCGACAAUAAAUUCUUCCGUAUACCCAGAACAUACAACACAUAAUCUAGUAAUAAGUGUUUGCCAGAAGUAAAUAAAAGCUUGACUUUCCCGACACCUUUAGUUACAACCGAAUUACCGCCCAAAGGCCACUCUCCACUCAAAUCCAAAUUUGGAUUAUUUAAUGGGCGGUUAAGUCCAUUUUGAUUAGUGGAUUUGAUGAACUCAUUAUUAAUUGCAUUAUUUACUCACUAUUUGGUUGUUAUCAUCAAAUUCAAUACAGUGUCCUUAUAAUUUUUUGUUUAAUUCAUCAUAGGACACUAUUCCUUUUGAUUUAUUCCAACACCCAUCAUAUGUUGUAUUUUGACUUGGGCCCAAAGAUGGGCCACUAGCACUAAUUGUCGAAAGUUUCCCAAAAUCAGUUUGUGAAAUAAUAUUACAACAUUGCAAUUUAUUUUUAUAAUCAAUUAAAUUAUUAUGACAUGAAAAUUUUGGUGUAGAAAAAUCUUUUUUUUUCCAACAGUGUUGAGACUAACAGUAGUACGCAAGUCUAAUUCAUUUUGGUUUUUAUUUUGUAUAAAUGAAACCUUUGUUUUCACCAAACUAUCACUAAAUUUAUUUCCAUUUAAAUAAAAACUAGAACACGUACCCGCUCCACUCGAGCCUUUGUUGUUUCCCGUAAGCUUCACUCGACAAUCCUUUUUGAAGUAUCCCACUUUGUGGCACCUCCAAUAUGUAUUUUUGGCUUUCUUGUUUGAAUUUUUAUCAGCAUGAUCAAACUUGCGUUUUUCGCCUUUAAACUUGUUAUAAUUACCCGGUUUCCCAUCAUGCUCCACCAUAUUAAUUGAAGAUUGAUCAACCACACUUUUGCCCUUAUUUUUAUCAACUUCUUGAACCCGAAGAGAUUCUUCAAUCCGAAUGUGACUUCCCAAUUGAACCAAAGUCAAUUCUUCUUUUUGAUGUUUAAGGGUGGUGUGUUUAAAAUCUUUCCAUGACGGAGGAAGUUUAUCAAUGAUACUUGAAACGGAAAUUGACUCAUCCAUAUACAUAUUGUGUUGAGUAUAUUGACCCAAUAUGUGCAAUAAUUCAUUAUAUUACUCCAUAACCGGUCUAUUAUCAACCAUCUUGUAAGAAUUAAAAUUUCUUACCAGAAAUUUUUGCUGGAUGCAUCAUUUGCCAUAUACUUAGAUUCAAGAGAAUCCUAAAGACCCUUGACACACACUGCAUUCUGGUACAAGAUCAAAUAGCCCAUCACACAUUUCAUUCAAUACAUGCCCUCUGCAUGUAUAAUCAUCAUUUUCC
rnacentral:lncRNA from 1 species